GACGAACGCUGGCGGCGUGCUUAACACUUGCAAGUCGAACGGAAAGGCCCUGCUUUUGUGGGGUGCUCGAGUGGCGAACGGGUGAGUAACACGUGAGUAACCUGCCCUUGACUUUGGGAUAACUUCAGGAAACUGGGGCUAAUACCGGAUAGGAGCUCCUGCUGCAUGGUGGGGGUUGGAAAGUUUCGGCGGUUGGGGAUGGACUCGCGGCUUAUCAGCUUGUUGGUGGGGUAGUGGCUUACCAAGGCUUUGACGGGUAGCCGGCCUGAGAGGGUGACCGGCCACAUUGGGACUGAGAUACGGCCCAGACUCCUACGGGAGGCAGCAGUGGGGAAUAUUGCACAAUGGGCGGAAGCCUGAUGCAGCAACGCCGCGUGCGGGAUGACGGCCUUCGGGUUGUAAACCGCUUUCGCCUGUGACGAAGCGUGAGUGACGGUAAUGGGUAAAGAAGCACCGGCGAACUACGUGC
rnacentral:rRNA from 1 species